rnacentral:rRNA from 1 species
CUUCACUACGGAAUAGCUUCUGGAAACGGAAGGUAAUACCGUAUACGCCCUCCGGGGGAAAGAUUUAUCGGUGAAGGAUCGGCCCGCGUUAGAUUAGUUUGUUGGUGGGGUAAUGGCCUACCAAGACUACGAUCUAUAGCUGGUCUGAGAGGAUGAUCAGCCACACUGGGACUGAGACACGGCCCAGACUCCUACGGGAGGCAGCAGUGGGGAAUCUUGCACAAUGGGCGAAAGCCUGAUGCAGCCAUGCCGCGUGAAUGAUGAAGGCCUUAGGGUUGUAAAAUUCUUUCGCCAGGGAUGAUAAUGACAGUACCUGGUAAAGAAGCCCCGGCUAACUUCGUGCCAGCAGCCGCGGUAAUACGAAGGGGGCUAGCGUUGUUCGGAAUUACUGGGCGUAAAGCGCGCGUAGGCGGGCUAUUAAGCCAGAUGUGAAAGCCCGGAGCUCAACUCCGGAAUUGCAUUUGGAACUGGUAGCCUAGAGACCAGGAGAGGUUAGCGGAAUACCGAGUGUAGAGGUGAAAUUCGUAGAUAUUCGGUGGAACACCAGUGGCGAAGGCGGCUAACUGGACUGGUACUGACGCUGAGGCGCGAAAGUGUGGGGAGCAAACAGGAUUAGAUACCCUGGUAGUCCACACCGUAAACGAUGAAUGC